rnacentral:lncRNA from 1 species
GGAUUCCCUAUUUAAUAAAUGGUGCUGGGAAAACUGGCUAGCCAUAUGUAGAAAGCUGAAACUGGAUCCCUUCCUUACACCUUAUACAAAAAUUAAUUCAAGAUGGAUUAAAGACUUAAACAUUAGACCUAAAACCAUAAAAACCCUAGAAGAAAACCUAGGCAAUACCAUUCAGGACAUAGGCAUGGGCAAGAACUUCAUGU